AUUGUUUCUUGGCUCUCUGGAGUUAAGAUUAAAGCAUAGUGGCUGUUCUUCUUGCUACAAUCUGUGAUAUGUCUUUGAUAUGAGCAAUGUGUAUUAGCUUGAUUUUUGAAAGAAGAGGAUUAGUGAGAACAGGAGCUUGUNGUCUACCCCAUGCAUGGAUCUGGUAUUGCAGUGUCUCCAGGAACAGUGUAUCCCCU
rnacentral:snRNA from 1 species